AAACAAAGAAACAAGCCAGCUACGGGGUGCUACUUUGGGAGUUGCUGACUGGUGAGGUGCCCUUUCGAGGCAUUGAUGGCUUAGCAGUCGCUUAUGGAGUGGCCAUGAACAAACUCGCCCUUCCUAUUCCUUCUACAUGCCCAGAACCUUUUGCCAAACUCAUGGAAGGUAAGUAAGCCCUGGCCUGAACCAAACUGGAGACACUUUGCCUCGUGUAAGCACUGGGUAGAGUUUGGCCAAUUCUAUGAGAUCAGUUACUGAAAGAGGAGAUAAAGUUUCAGUCACCUAAGGAGGAAUCCUCUGGGCAACUGGAAAGGCUUCUUCAAGAUGAUGUCCACACCCUGCUGCAAGCAGGUCAUAUCUCUAGGGACUGUAGAAGUGAAAUUAGUAACAAAAGCCCGCUAUCCGGCACUUCAGCAUAUUAUUAUUUAAUGCAAAAUCAGAAAGUACAGUAACUUUUAUGUCAGGACCUCUGAAUACCUUAAGAGACAUGAAGAACAUCUUAGGAGAAAGAACUCUAAAAGUCAUCUAGUCAAACCCCAUAAUUUU
rnacentral:sRNA from 1 species